rnacentral:rRNA from 1 species
UAAUACGAAGGGCCCGAGCGUUGCGCGGAAUCAUUGGGCUUAAAGCGUACGUAGGCGGACAUUCAGGCACCUUAGUGAAAUCCCUCGGCUCAACCGAGGAAUUGCUUGGUGAACCGUUUGUCUUGAGACAAGUAGGGGCUGUCGGAACGAUAGGUGGAGCGGUGAAAUGCGUUGAUAUCUAUCGGAACGCCAAAGGUGAAGACAGGCAGCUGGGCUUGUUCUGACGCUGAGGUACGAAAGCGUGGGGAGCGAACGGGAUUAGAUACCCCGGUAGUCCACGCUGUAAACGAUGUGCACUAGAUCGAGGGGGUUUUGACGCAACUCUCGGUCGAAGCAAAAGUGUUAAGUGCACCGCCUGGGGAGUACGGUCGCAAGGCUA